AUGUGGGCAUAUAACACGGUAAUCCAUGGCUUCUUUAAGGAAGGCGAAACAGGCAAGGCGUGCAAUCUAUUCCAUGAAAUGGUACGGCAAGGGAUUGUGCCUGAUGUGGUGACAUAUAACUCGAUUAUUGACGCGUUGUGCAAGGCCAGGGCAAUGGACAAGGCAGAGUUAGUCCUUCAGCAGAUGGUUGCUGAUGGUGCUCAACCCAAUGAAGUGACAUAUAAUUCCAUGAUCAAUGGAUAUGCCUCAUCUGGGCGCUUAAAAGGGACUACUAAAAUGUUCAGAGAAAUGAAAAGGCGGGGUCUUAUACCAGAUAAUUUUACUUGCAACUCGUUCCUGGCCUCCCUGUGCAAGCAUGGAAGAAGCAAAGAAGCUGCAGAAUUUUUUGAUUCCAUGACAGCCAAGGGCCACAAACCUGAUAUCGUCUCGUACUGUACUUUGCUUCAUGGGUAUGCCAGUGAAGGAUGCUUUGCUGAUAUGAUUGAUCUUUUUAAUUCAAUGGAAAGCAAUGUUAUUGCGGCCGACUGCCGUGUUUUCACCAUUUUAAUUGUUGCCUAUGCUAAACGUGGAAUGAUGGAUGAAGCUAUGCUGGUAUCAAGUAAAAUGCAGGAACGCGGAGUGAAUCCGAAUAUAUUCACCUAUUCCAGCAUAAUAGCUGGCCUUUCCAGAAUGGGUAGGCUGACCGAGGCCAUGGAAAAAUUCAAUCAGAUGAUUGCUUUGGGAGUACAACCGGACAAAGUUGUUUAUCUGUCUCUGAUUCAGGGUUUUUGCUUAGAUGGUGAUUUGGCUAAAGUUAAGCAGUUGGUUUCUGAAAUGAUGAACAGAGGUAUUCCUCAUUCUGGCAUUCCGUUCUUCGGUUCAGUAAUAAAGAAUCUGUGCCAAGAAGGAAGGGUUAUGGAUGCACAUGAAAUCUUUGACUUGGUUAUAGACAUGGGUGAGAGGCCUGAUGACAUUUUAUUUAAUUCACUGAUUGAUGGAUACUGCUUAGUCGGGAAGAUGGAUAAAGCAUUAAAAGUACUUGAUGUCAUGGAAUCAGUUGGUGUUGAGCCUGAUGUUAUUACAUAUAAUACACUUGUUAAUGGCUAUUGUAAAAGUGGAAGGAUCGAUGAUGGUCUCGUUCUAUUCAGAGAAAUGCCGAGUAAGAGAGUUAAACCUGACACUGUUACAUAUGGCAUCAUACUGGCAGGGUUGUUUCGUGCUUGGAGAACUAUUGCUGCAAGGACAAUGUUCCAUGAGAUGAUCGAAAGUGGAAUAACAGUGGACAUCGUCACAUACAAUAUAAUUCUUACAGGACUCUGUAGAAAUAAUUGCAUAGAUGAAGCGAUCGCCCUGUUCCAGAAAUUAGGUGUAAUGAGUGUGAAGUUCAAUAUUGCAAUAAUAAAUACCAUGAUCGAUGCAAUGUACAAGGUUCGGAGAAGAGAAGAAGCCGGUGAUUUAUUUGCUGCAAUAUCAGCCAGUGGAUUGGUGCCCAAUGAAUCUACUUAUGCAGUAAUGAUAAUAAAUCUUCUAAAAGAUGGAGCAGUGGAAGAAGCAGACAAUAUGUUUUCAUCAAUGGAGAAAAGUGGUAUAGUCCCCAGCUCCCGUCUGUUAAAUCGUAUCAUCAGAAUGUUGUUGGAAAAAGGUGAGACUGCCAAGGCCGGAAAUUAUUUGUCUAAAGUUGAUGGGAAGGGCAUCUCACUUGAAGCUUCAACGACUUCAUUAAUGUUGUCUCUCUUUUCAAGAGAAGGGAAAUAUCGGGAGGACGUGAAAUUGCUUCCUGCAAAGUACCAAUUUUUUUAUGGAUUUGUUGAUUUUGCACAAGACUCUGCUCAGGAAGCUUGA
rnacentral:rRNA from 1 species